AACAGGUCGUGCUUCCCGAAAUAUGGACAACCUGUGAGUGAUAACCUCGGGGUGGAUGCCCGACAUGUCGGAGGCGCUCCACGCGAAGAGGUUGUUGUUGGUUCGUAACAGAGUUGUGAGGUUGCCUUCAUUCGUAGGAGUGAGGUCAGCUCCUAUAUUGGGGAUCUAUUCUUUAUUCUUCCCCAGAACGAACGGUUUGAUCUCCCCUUGAGGUUGAAUCUGGUCAUCU
rnacentral:lncRNA from 1 species